rnacentral:lncRNA from 1 species
AUGGAGGUAUACGGCUUCAGCGACUCCUUCAGUGGGGUGGACUCCGUGCAGGAGCUGGCCCCGCCGCCCGCCCUACCCCCCAAGCAGCGGCAGCUUAUAAGUCUGUGUUUAGGUCCUACUCCCAGGAUUUCGUGCCUCACCACCAAGCUUCCGUUCCGCCUUUCCUUCCGCCUACCUCCUCUUCCUCUCCACAUUUCCCACCUGCCCACCAGUCUCAGAGCUCUGACUUAGCCGUGCCAACCAUGGCCGGUCCACCUCCCAGCACCGUGGACGGGCCUCUCUCGGCUUCUCAGGAGAGCAGCUUUCAUGGGAAUACUGUCUGCCUUCCUUCCGAAACCUCUUUCACUGACUCGAGCCACCGGCUGGGAAAGACGGACAUCCCAGAGAUCCCUCAGCGGUCAGCGGCGUCCCUGGGAAGGACAGCAGAGACGGCAGUGAGAGGCCCCAAAGUCACCAGAUGCUCUGGAGUCGGC